GAAGAACAAGCUCACAUUGACAGGACCAGGGUAAGCACAUCAAAAUCUUGGCUCGGCCAUGGUCACACUUACCGAGCAAUGUGCGAUCAGCUCUCUCUGCUCUUCCCAGUCAAAUGAAAUGCAAAAGAUAAAGGCUGAGACACUUGGAAGCAUGAAAAAUACAAGAAAUCACACAAUCAAACGGAAGUUAAUAUGAGGAGGGUAUUCCAACAACAGAAAGGCUGGCAGUACAAGCUUCCAUGCAAUCUCUUCAAAGCCGAGCAGCAACAUAACCCAAUGUUUUAU
rnacentral:misc_RNA from 1 species